rnacentral:misc_RNA from 1 species
UGUCUACCCUCAAGCCUGGCUUGGUGUUGGGUCGUGCCCCUCCUGCGGGCAGGCCCUAAAUGCAGUGGUCGCGUCGUGACGACUCCCAGCGCAGUACGACCCCUCGUUGCGGAGCCGGUCGCGCACGCGGCCAGACAACGCCCCCUCUUCU